GAGACUUUUGUGGUAGUAGAGAGGAUCUGGGCUUCUUGGGAUUUGAUCAUAUAGCUAUCAUUUGAUGAAAAAUCUGACUCUGGGGCCAUUCCUUAGAUUGCACAUGGUGACUGUUCUGUUGGUUCAUCAUCAAUGGAAAAGAAGGAUUCAAGGUCAUCUUCUUUCUGAUCUUAAUUCUUGAUUCUUACUGGAUUUGCUGGAUCAUCUUAGACCCUUUUUUGUUGUUUGGGCAAUUUUUUUACAAAAUGACCAUUUUGAUUACAGAUGUAACACCUAUUUGAUUUGGUUCCCCUUGGAGAUAUAUUUUUCUUUAAAUAUCUCCAUUUUGUUUUUCUUCUGAAAGAUCUUGGAAGAUUAAGGUUUUUGAAUCUCCUGAAAUGUUUUUUUUCUUUUUUAUCCUACAAUAGCAAUGCUUUUCAUGUCCACAUUUGAUUCGUAGGUAAGAAUCAUCACAGGCUUUGUCCAACCGCUUGUCACCAUGGAGAUAGUCUUUGAAAACCUUUUUCCUGUUGCAUAAGUCUUCAAGAGUAACAUAAGUUUCUUGUUGGAUUUCUCCCAUUGUCAGGCUGAGGAUGUUUCUGUUUUGCCUGUGGAGACUUUGAUUGAUAGCAACUUAAAGAGGCUCUGGUAUGGAUGCGAGAACUGCAGGUUUAAGACUUUUCUCUAGAUCAAGUGAACAAAAAAUUUUGGUCAUAGCGUGGAAAUGCUUGGAUAAGACUUUCUUGUUGUAAGAGUAGUAUUUUCGUUUGAAGAAUUCACUUCUUUUUAAGGUCAGAAGAUCUUCAGGAUUUCCAGUAAAAUGAUUAUGGAUAAUCCUGAUGGCUUGGGAUAAAUCUAUUAAGACUAGAAAUUACAUCUGAUCUACUUGAUUGAUCGAAUUCCACCAGUCUCUUAACAUUCUUGUAAAUCUGGAAACAAAUUCUAACAGGAUAUUGUAAUGACUUUCUUCUGUUAAUUUUCUGGUGUCAAGCCAUGAGUGAAACUCCUGGAGUCUUCCUGGCCAUCUAGAAGAUAGAAUAUCAUCGGGAGUGAAAGUUUUUUUUCCUCUUGAGAUAGAUGGUGGAGGUCUAACAUCUGAUGUUUCACCGAUAUUCCCUAUUUCUUCAUCUGACAUUUUCACAUUAACUUCUGGUUGGGUGGUUGCUAUCACUUGACUUUCUUCCCUUUCUAAGAUAUCAUUAAAAUAUUCUAAGACAUCUUCACUGGAUCUUUCAGAGGAGUUUGAUUCCUAUGUGACUUCUUGUAAAGCAAUAAUUUUGGGAAGUAUUUGCUGGUUAUAAUCCUUUAAGAAUGUUGACAAAGGAUUUGAAUGACCUAUAUUCUCCUUAAUCAUCAGGGACUUAAACAUUUGCUUUGGUGUAGGAGAAUCCUCUUAUUCUUUAUUUAUAGGCAUUUUUCCCAAGGAUUUAUCUUUUUUCUGCUCUUCUGCUUCCUCUUGUUUCUUAUUUUCUUUUGCUUCUCUUUUUUCUUUUUCUUUUUG
rnacentral:lncRNA from 1 species